UCCGGUUGAUCCUGCCAGAGGUUACUGCUAUCGGGGUUCGAUUAAGCCAUGCAAGUUAAAUGUUUUUCGUAAACAUAGCGAACUGCUCAGUAACACGUGGACAACUUAACCUUAGGUCCAGCAUAACCCCGGGAAACUGGGGAUAAUUCUGGAUUAAGCCAAAGAUGCUGGAAUGCCCUUUGGCUAAAAGCUUUUGCGCCUAAGGAUAGGUCUGCGGUCUAUCAGGUUGUAGUGGGUGUAACGUACCUACUAGCCGACGACGGAUACGGGUUGUGAGAGCAAGAGCCCGGAGAUGGAUUCUGAGACACGAAUCCAGGCCCUACGGGGUGCAGCAGGCGCGAACACUUUACAAUGCGGGAAACCGCGAUAAGGGAACCCCGAGUGCCAGUACUAAGUGCUGGCUGUCUGGAUGAUUAGAUAUCAUUUAAUAGCAAGGGCCGGGCAAGACCGGUGCCAGCCGCCGCGGUAACACCGGCGGCCCGAGUGGUAACCGUUAUUAUUGGGUCUAAAGGGUCCGUAGCCUGUUUAAUAAGUCCUUUGGGAAAUCUGGCAGCUUAACUGUCAGGCUGCUAAAGGAUACUGUUAAACUUGGGACCGGGAGACGUAGGGGGUACUCCAGGGGUAGGAGUGAAAUCUUGUAAUCCCUGGGGGACCAUCUGUGGCGAAGGCGCCCUACGAGAACGGGUCCGACGGUGAGGGACGAAAGCUAGGGGAGCAAACCGGAUUAGAUACCCGGGUAGUCCUAGCUGUAAACGAUGCUCGCUAGGUGUCCGGCACGGUGCGUCCGUGUCUGGUGCCGCAGGGAAGCCGUUAAGCGAGCCACCUGGGAAGUACGGUCGCAAGGCUGAAACUUAAAGGAAUUGGCGGGGGAGCACUACAACGGGUGGAGCCUGCGGUUUAAUUGGAUUCAACGCCGGG
rnacentral:rRNA from 1 species